GCCCGAUUGGCAUAGCGGCUGUGCAACUGCCUUGUAAGCAGUAGAGACAGGUUCGAGUCCUGUAUUGGGCUCCA
rnacentral:tRNA from 1 species